CACGGAUCCAGACUUUGAUUCUGGCUCAGAUUGAACGCUGGCGGCAUGCUUUACACAUGCAAGUCGAACGGCAGCACGGGGGCAACCCUGGUGGCGAGUGGCGAACGGGUGAGUAAUAUAUCGGAACAUGUCCGGAAGUGGGGGAUAACGUACCGAAAGGUACGCUAAUACCGCAUAUGCCCUGAGGGGGAAAGCGGGGGAUCGUAAGACCUCGCGCUUUCGGAGUGGCCGAUAUCAGAUUAGCUAGUUGGUGAGGUAAAGGCUCACCAAGGCGACGAUCUGUAGCUGGUCUGAGAGGACGACCAGCCACACUGGGACUGAGACACGGCCCAGACUCCUACGGAGCAAGCAGUGGGGAAUUUUGGACAAUGGGGGCAACCUGAUCCAGCCAUGCCGCGUGAGUGAAGAAGGCCUUCGGGUUGUAAAGCUCUUUCAGCCGGAAAGAAAUCGUGCGGGCUAAUACCCUGUAUGGAUGACGGUACGGAAGAAGAAGCACCGGCAAACUACGUGCCAGCAGCCGCGGUAAUACGUAGGGAGGUUAACGUCAAUCUGAAUACUGGGCGUAAAGCGUGCGCAGGCGGUUUCGUAAGACAGAUGUGAAAUCCCCGGGCUUAACCUGGGAACUGCAUUUGUGACAGCGAGACUAGAGUACGGCAGAGGGGGUAGAAUUCCACGUGUAGCAGUGAAAUGCGUAGAUAUGUGGAGGAAUACCGAUGGCGAAGGCAGCCCCCUGGGUCGAUACUGACGCUCAUGCACGAAAGCGUGGGGAGCAAACAGGAUUAGAUACCCUGGUAGUCCACGCCCUAAACGAUGUCAACUAGGUGUUGGGGGAGGAGACUUCCUUAGUACCGCAGCUAACGCGUGAAGUUGACCGCCUGGGGAGAACGGCGGUAAGAUGGAAUUGAUACGAAUAUAUGAGAUGGGCAAGAAUUAUGGUCGAUUAGAAUAAUUAGAUGAACUGCGUAUAACUACCAUAACCAAGCGAUAUAAGUUUUCCCACAGACGAGAAUAGAAGCGCCAGAGAUGGAUACCCGCCCGAAAGGGAAUCUGAACACAGGAGCUGCAUGGCUGCGUCAGCUCGCGUCGGGAGAUGUAGGGUUAAGUCCCGCAACGAGCGCAACCCUUGUCAUUAAUUGCUAUCAUUCAGUUGGGCACUUUAAUGAGACUGCCGGGGACAAACCGGAGGAAGGCGGGGAUGACCAUCCAGUAGGAAGGUGGGGAUUGACGUUCAACGUCCUCAUAGACAUUAUGGGUAGGGCUUCAGCACGUAAGCCAAUGGUCGGUACAGAGGGUUGCCAUCCCGCGAGGGGGAGCCAAUCCCAGAAAGCCGAUCGUAGUCCGGAUUGUAGUCUGCAACUCGACUACAUGAAGUCGGAAUCGCCAGUAAUCGCGGAUCAGCAUGUCGCGGUGAAUACGUUCCCGGGUCUUGUACACACCGCCCGUCACACCAUGGGAGCGGGUUCUACCAGAAGCAGCUAGCCUAACCGCAAGGGGGGCGGUUGCCACGGUAGGGUUCGUGAGUGGGGUGAAGUCGUAACAAGCUAGCCGUAAGCUUCAC
rnacentral:rRNA from 1 species